rnacentral:rRNA from 1 species
UACGUAGGGUGCAAGCGUUAAUCGGAAUUACUGGGCGUAAAGCGUGCGCAGGCGGUUAUGCAAGACAGAUGUGAAAUCCCCGGGCUCAACCUGGGAACUGCAUUUGUGACUGCAUGGCUAGAGUACGGUAGAGGGGGAUGGAAUUCCGCGUGUAGCAGUGAAAUGCGUAGAUAUGCGGAGGAACACCGAUGGCGAAGGCAAUCCCCUGGGCCUGCACUGACGCUCAUGCACGAAAGCGUGGGGAGCAAACAGG